rnacentral:rRNA from 1 species
UGGGGAAUAUUGGACAAUGGGCGAAAGCCUGAUCCAGCCAUGCCGCGUGUGUGAAGAAGGUCUUCGGAUUGUAAAGCACUUUAAGUUGGGAGGAAGGGCAUUAACCUAAUACGUUAGUGUUUUGACGUUACCGACAGAAUAAGCACCGGCUAACUCUGUGCCAGCAGCCGCGGUAAUACAGAGGGUGCAAGCGUUAAUCGGAAUUACUGGGCGUAAAGCGCGCGUAGGUGGUUUGUUAAGUUGGAUGUGAAAUCCCCGGUCUCAACCUGGGAACUGCAUUCAAAACUGACUGACUAGAGUAUGGUAGAGGGUGGUGGAAUUUCCUGUGUAGCGGUGAAAUGCGUAGAUAUAGGAAGGAACACCAGUGGCGAAGGCGACCACCUGGACUAAUACUGACACUGAGGUGCGAAAGCGUGGGGAGCAAACA